UACAGAGGGUGCAAGCGUUGUUCGGAAUUAUUGGGCGUAAAGGGCGCGUAGGCGGUGCUGUAAGUCUGUAGUGAAAUCUCUGGGCUCAACUCAGAGUCUGCUAUAGAAACUGCAGUGCUGGAGUGUGGGAGAGGUGAGUGGAAUUCCCGGUGUAGUGGUGGAAUGCGUAGAUAUCGGGAGGAACACCAGUGGCGAAGGCGGUUGCCUGGAGCUUUGCUGACGCUGAUGCGCGAAAGCGUGGGGAGCGAUCCGG
rnacentral:rRNA from 1 species